rnacentral:rRNA from 1 species
GUGGGCCCUCGAAGUCCGAGCGGAGAGGGAUUCAGUCUCGGGGCGCGAGGGGACGUCUUCCUCGGCGAUCUCUGGGCGAGAGCGCCUUGGCUGUCACGUCCGUCCUCCGUCCGGGGACGCACUUCCCUCUCCCGCAGGACGCCGCAGCCUCUCGGGGGUCGGCAGUGAGGAGGUCGCGGGCAGGUGGCGUGGGCGUCGGUCCAGCACCGGCGCCCCGUGUCUGGCCCGCGCCGGUUCCCGGCGCGACCGCCGAGAGAGGGGAAGGUCCCGCCCAGGCGGGACCCGCCGUUGCCUCACGGGAUGAGCGGACCCGGAGCGUCAGGGAAGGCGGCGCGUUCCGAGCGUCACCGGGCGGUGUCGCCGGACGCGCUGUACCCGUUGGGCCUCCGCGGUACCGCGGCGCAGGCACGCGGCUUGCGGCGAGUAGGUCGGUAACCCACCCGACCCGUCUUGAAACACGGACCAAGGAGUCUAACAUGUGCGCGAGUCAGUGGGACUCGAACAAGCCCACGGGCGGAACGAAAGUGAACUGUGUCGGGAUCCCCGUGCUCCGGCGCGGGGCGCACCGACGGCCUGGGCGGCCCGCCACCGGCGGGCGCCCGGAGCCAGAGCGUACACGCUAUGACCCGAAAGAUGGUGAACUAUGCCCGGGCAGGUCGAAGCUAGAGGAAACUCUGGUGGAGGACCGCAGCGGUUCUGACGUGCAAAUCGAUCGUCGAACCUAGGUAUAGG